rnacentral:rRNA from 1 species
CCUACGGGAGGCAGCAGUGGGGAAUUUUGGACAAUGGGCGCAAGCCUGAUCCAGCCAUGCCGCGUGUGGGAAGAAGGCCUUCGGGUUGUAAACCACUUUUGUCAGGGAAGAAACGGCUUUUUCUAAUACAGAGAGCUAAUGACGGUACCUGAAGAAUAAGCACCGGCUAACUACGUGCCAGCAGCCGCGGUAAUACGUAGGGUGCAAGCGUUAAUCGGAAUUACUGGGCGUAAAGCGUGCGCAGGCGGCUUUGCAAGACAGAUGUGAAAUCCCCGGGCUCAACCUGGGAACUGCAUUUGUGACUGCAUGGCUAGAGUACGGUAGAGGGGGAUGGAAUUCCGCGUGUAGCAGUGAAAUGCGUAGAUAUGCGGAGGAACACCGAUGGCGAAGGCAAUCCCCUGGACCUGUACUGACGCUCAUGCACGAAAGCGUGGGGAGCAAACAGGAUUAGAUACCCUGGUAGUCCACGCCCUAAACGAUGUCAACUGGUUGUUGGACGGCUUGCUGUUCAGUACGAAGCUAACGCGUGAAGUUGACCGCCUGGGGAGUACGGCCGCAAGGUUGAAACUCAAAUGAAUUGACGGNGNGAGACGAGCGAGACGACGACGAGGGGAGAGG